rnacentral:rRNA from 1 species
UACGUAGGGGGCAAGCGUUGUCCGGAAUCAUUGGGCGUAAAGCGCGUGUAGGCGGCCCGGUAAGUCCGCUGUAAAAGUCCAGGGCUCAACCCUGGAAAGCCGGUGGAUACUGUCGGGCUCGAGUCCGGAAGAGGCGAGUGGAAUUCCUGGUGUAGCGGUGAAAUGCGCAGAUAUCAGGAGGAACACCAAUGGCGAAGGCGGCUCUCUGGAACGCAACUGACGCUGAGACGCGAAAGCGUGGGGAGCAAACAGGAUAGAAAC